GUCCACGCCGUAAACGAUGGGUACUAGUUGGUGCGGGUAUUGACACCUGCGCUGACGAAGCAAACGCAUUAAGUACACCGCCUGGGGAGUACGGCCGCAAGGCUAAAACUCAAAGGAAUUGACGGGGGCCCGCACAAGCGGUGGAGUAUGUGGAUUAAUUCGACGCAACGCGAAGAACCUUACCUGGCCUUGACAUCCCGGGAAGGCGGCCGAAAAGCUGCCGUGCCCUUCGGGGAACCUGGAGACAGGUGCUGCAUGGCUGUCGU
rnacentral:rRNA from 1 species